ACAGAGGCCAGAGCACCCUGGUUCCCACUUAUUCUCCUUCUCUGCUACACAUCACAAUCGUGGAAAUGGUGAUUAAAGUGUUUACUGGCCAGUUGAGAAGUCAGGAGUCUUCCGGGACCCCAUGUGGUGCUGCUUUACAAACACCGGGGUUGCUUAUCCAUCUGUUAGUAUCGUGCCCACAUCCCAAAGCAUCUCUUCCUGGGAUAACUCAGCUACUUUUAAGAAUGUUCAUCAACAAUGAGUAGGGUACUUUGGAAGGAUACCAAGCAUAUUAAACAUUGUGAAGAGUAAAUGAAA